rnacentral:rRNA from 1 species
GACGAACGCUGGCGGCGUGCUUAACACAUGCAAGUCGAACGGAAAGGCCCUGCUUUUGUGGGGUGCUCGAGUGGCGAACGGGUGAGUAACACGUGAGUAACCUGCCCUUGACUUUGGGAUAACUUCAGGAAACUGGGGCUAAUACCGGAUAGGAGCUCCUGCUGCAUGGUGGGGGUUGGAAAGUUUCGGCGGUUGGGGAUGGACUCGCGGCUUAUCAGCUUGUUGGUGGGGUAGUGGCUUACCAAGGCUUUGACGGGUAGCCGGUCUGAGAGGGUGACCGGCCACAUUGGGACUGAGAUACGGCCCAGACUCCUACGGGAGGCAGCAGUGGGGAAUAUGGCACAAUGGGCGGAAGCCUGAUGCAGCAACGCCGCGUGCGGGAUGACGGCCUUCGGGUUGUAAACCGCUUUCGCCUGUGACGAAGCGUGAGUGACGGUAAUGGGUAAAGAAGCACCGGCUAACUACGUG